rnacentral:tRNA from 1 species
GAAAUAUAUUAUAGAACUUCUAAUUCUUUUAAAAAUGUUAAAUCAUUUAUAUUUCU